rnacentral:rRNA from 1 species
UACGGAGGGUGCGAGCGUUGUCCGGAAUCAUUGGGCGUAAAGGGCGCGUAGGCGGUCCAUCGCGUCGGGAGUGAAAAGCUGGGGCUUAACCCCAGUCCUGCUUCCGAUACGGGUGGACUAGAGGUAGGUAGGGGAGAUCGGAAUUCCUGGUGUAGCGGUGAAAUGCGCAGAUAUCAGGAGGAACACCGGUGGCGAAGGCGGAUCUCUGGGCCUUACCUGACGCUGAGGAGCGAAAGCAUGGGGAGCAAACAGG